rnacentral:rRNA from 1 species
GGUUGCAAUCAUAUUAGCACUAACACACUAGAUCUCAUAAGAACUCCGAAGUUAAGCUUGCUUGGGCAAGAGUAGUACUAGGAUAUGUGACCCCCUUGGAAGUCCUUGUAUUGCUUCAG